GUGCCUGGUUUGGCAGCACACAUACUAACAUUGGAAUACAAGGAAGAUUAUUAUGGCCAGUUUGCAAGGAUGAUAUGCAAAUGCAUGAAACAUUCCAUAUUUAA
ensembl:snRNA U6 U6 spliceosomal RNA